AGAGUUUGAUCAUGGCUCAGAGUGAACGCUGGCGGCAUGCCUAACACAUGCAAGUCGAACGGCAGCGCAGUCGUAGCAAUACGAUGGGCGGCGAGUGGCGGACGGGUGAGGAACACAUCGGAAUCUGCCCGGUUGUGGGGGAUAACGUAGGGAAACUUACGCUAAUACCGCAUACGAUCGAGAGAUGAAAGCGGGGGACCGUAAGGCCUCGCGCAGUCGGAUGAGCCGAUGUCGGAUUAGCUAGUUGGUGGGGUAAAGGCCUACCAAGGCGACGAUCCGUAGCUGGUCUGAGAGGAUGAUCAGCCACACUGGGACUGAGACACGGCCCAGACUCCUACGGGAGGCAGCAGUGGGGAAUAUUGGACAAUGGGGGCAACCCUGAUCCAGCAAUGCCGCGUGUGUGAAGAAGGCCUUCGGGUUGUAAAGCACUUUUAUCCGGAACGAAACGUGUCGGGUUAACAACCCGGCAAACUGACGGUACCGGAGGAAUAAGCACCGGCUAACUUCGUGCCAGCCGCCGCGGUAAUAC
rnacentral:rRNA from 1 species